rnacentral:lncRNA from 1 species
AAUUAAUUGGACUUGUUAGGUGUGCACGUGGACUAGUAAACAUUGAGUUUGACAUCGGUAGAGGUAAGAAUCUAUGUAUAUGAUCACCAGGAUAUAUUUAUUUUUAGAUUUAUGUUGCUGGAUUGGAAUCGUUGAAUUUGUCUCGAUGAAUUUAGUUUUGCAUGAGAUGGUAUUAUUUUAUACGAUUUUUUGAUAUGAGUAUUAAUAUAUAUAUAUAUAUAUAUCAAUAUUGAUGAUAUGACUAUAUGGAUUGUGAUAUCAGUUAUCAUGAAAUUAAGGAAGAUAGUGGUAAAUUGGAAUUGACUUGAUAAGAAUUAUGUGUAAUAAUUAGAUGGAAACGAGGUGCUUUGGACUAACCUCAUCUUGUGGAUACCCUCCACGAGCUUAUGCAUAGGAUAGUUUCCAUGAGCUUAUGUAUGGAAUAGCUUCCACGGGCUUAUACAU